rnacentral:lncRNA from 1 species
CUGGAAAAAACGCUUGGUAGAGAAGCGAGACACGUGGCUCGAAAACGUGCUUGGACACAUGGGGAAAGUGCAUCUCUGGUCAUGGCUUCAUUCCUCUGUGACUACAGCUCGCACCAGGAAGCCCUGUCUCCAUGGCUGAAGCUGCCAGUUGUGUUUGCUCUAGGCGUCAUCUUCAAACCCUCACAUUUAUCGAAUGGUGUGGAGGUCACCGAGCCUGGUUCACAUGUUUUGUCACUGGCUGGCUGGGACAUGAGCUGCUCCUGCAGGUCUUUCUCUCUUCGGAUUCAGAAAAUACAGCUGGUGUCAAAAACAACCUCAGAGAGACAACUUGAAAUGUGGAAGUUGGAAGCUGGUGUGGCAUAAUGGAAAGAAUCUGUAGAAAUUGGAGAUCCAACAUAAUUGAUAAUAAAAAACGUAGCAUAAUAACA